UACGUAGGGUGCGAGCGUUUGUCCGGAAUUAUUGGGCGUAAAGGGCUCGUAGGCGGUUUGUCGCGUCGGGAGUGAAAACCCAGGGCUUAACUGUGGGCGUGCGGUCGAUACGGGCAUCACUGGAGUUCGGCAGGGGGAGACUGGAAUUCCUGGUGUAGCGGUGAAAUGCGCAGAUAUCAGGAGGAACACCGGUGGCGAAGGCGGGUCUCUGGGCCGAUACUGACGCUGAGGAGCGAAAGCGUGGGGAGCGAACAGG
rnacentral:rRNA from 1 species